AAGGUUCUUCUUCACUGUCAGAAUUGUUCAUGAAGGCGAUCAUGCUUCCUUCUUCAUGGAGAAUCUUAAUCACACUCCAGACGCUGAAUGCUUCAACGCUGUUCGCUGCCCGGGAGCGAUUCCGCUGGCAUGCAAAUCCCGGAUUGUUGGGGCUCGUUGCUUACCAAUUUCUCCCUACGGAAACCGCGACAACUUGACGCCCUUCAUUAGUUUCAGCACGACCUAUUUCGGAAGGGUGAGUUUUGAUGAGCACAGCGUAUUAUUGCUCCAGCCGGCUGUCACUCAGGAAAACGCCUCCUUUAAGCAAUUCCUCAUCCAAUGAAGAAGAACGGCCGGAGGAGCAAUUUGCCAAUGGAGAACGAGCGCUCUCAAGCAGAAGCAGAAAGGGAGACCGGGAUUAAAUCAAGCCGGGAGGAUCAGCGGCUUGGAGGUUUUGCUGCGAUGGAGGAAAAUCCUUUUUUUUUUUUUUGCUGCAGUACUUAAAAAGCUGGAAGAAUUGCGAUAUUCCCCUUUUGCGGUUCUUAAAACAGUAGCUUGUUACUACGUGUGUACUUUUGAGAUUUUGUGUAAUUAUCUGUCAUAUUUGCUUUGUUAAACUCAUCUGAUACUAGGGUACCAUUAAAUAUGACUAAUGCAGUGUGCAAAUAUGGAGUUACUAAUAUAUGAAAUAUUGUAUGGCUGAGCUGAAUACUGAAAGGAAAGGAAGGAAAUCGGUAGAGGGUUUCUUGUGAUAUUACCUUAUUUGGCAGAG